rnacentral:misc_RNA from 1 species
UAGAUAUUCACCAGUUGUUCCACAAUUAUGUACCGAAUCCUGUGCUUGUGAUUAUUGAUGUACAACCAAAGGAGCUAGGAAUACCAACUAAAGCCUACUAUGACGUUGAAGAAGUUAAAGAGAAUGCUACCCAAAAGAGCCAGAAGAUCUUUGUUCAUGUACCUUCAGUUAUUGCUGCCCAUGAGGUUGAGGAAAUUGGUGUGGAA